rnacentral:lncRNA from 1 species
GAAGGAGAAGGCUUUUUAGAGUCUGAAUCAAGAAUAAUUUUCUUGAGUUCAGUCAAAUAUCUAGACCUAGAUUCAUCAUCUUUGAUGUGAUCUAUAAUAUCAAACAAUACUUCUUUGGAAUCAGAAGUAAUUACACUAACGGUGUUUGAAUUACACCCGCAAAAAAUACCUUCACAUGAUUCUUCACAUGAAUCAUCAUGUUCUGACUGACUUUCAUCAGUCUCGUAGGCCACAUUGAUGUUUUCUUCAUCACUGUACUCGUCUGACUCUGUACUACUGGAGUUAGAAUCGCUUUCCUGAAGGAUAGAAAAGAUUUUUCCUUUAAUAUCCUCAUCUAAACCUAAAAGGUUAAUCUUCUUCUUCCACUUAGAAGAUUUACACUGGUUGGCUCUAUGACCAGACUUACCACAAUUCCAGCAUACAUCCUCUUUAUGAGAGGAUGUAUUCCGGUGAAGCCAGCUGUGAUCAUUGCAGCUGCUUCUUUGUCUGAAGAAUUACGCAGCUUAUAGCUGGUAAUACAAACACCCAUUUCGUGUAAAACACGAUAGAUUUGAUGUUCAGCAAGACCAUUAAUAUUCCAUUCGACUAUGCCUCUACCAUCAUGAGAUGAUUGAGACUGGAAUCCAUCUUCCUCAUACUGAGUAUCAGGAAAGGAGGGUCGUUUGUAAUAGUUUCUCCUAUUAGGAUAACGAUCGGAAAGUUUAUGCAGGGAGUUAUCAGUUAGAGUACGGACACUCUCAGAAGUGGAAGGU